rnacentral:lncRNA from 1 species
GCAUCACCUGGAGCUUGCUAGGCUGCGUCUCAGCUCACCACAAACAUUCCACAUCAGAAUCUGUGUCUUUCCUGCCUCCCCAGACAGCUGUUCCCCGGGAGUACCUGAGCUAUGCCUCGUCCAAGCUGUCAGGCGUCAACAUUCGUCAAGCCUUUCGGUUCAGCUGUGCCAUAGCUCCCAAGUCAGCAGUUCUCCGGGCCACCUGUUACCACAAGCUACAUCAGGACACUCCCAAACAAUCCUUUCCUCAGCUCUGUCCUCCCCCUUCACCCCUACUUAAAGCCCAUGGCAAUUGGAAACAACAAAAAUGACUUGUUCA